rnacentral:rRNA from 1 species
UGGGGAAUAUUGCACAAUGGGCGCAAGCCUGAUGCAGCCAUGCCGCGUGUAUGAAGAAGGCCUUCGGGUUGUAAAGUACUUUCAGUCGGGAGGAAGGUGUCAAGGUUAAUAACCUUGGCAAUUGACGUUACCGACAGAAGAAGCACCGGCUAACUCCGUGCCAGCAGCCGCGGUAAUACGGAGGGUGCAAGCGUUAAUCGGAAUUACUGGGCGUAAAGCGCACGCAGGCGGUUUGUUAAGUCAGAUGUGAAAUCCCCGGGCUCAACCUGGGAACUGCAUCGGAUACUGGCAAGCUUGGGUCUCGUAGAGGGGGGUAGAAUUCCAGGUGUAGCGGUGAAAUGCGUAGAGAUCUGGAGGAAUACCGGUGGCGAAGGCGGCCCCCUGGACGAAGACUGACGCUCAGGUGCGAAAGCGUGGGGAGCAAACAGG